GCCCCGGUGGCCUAAUGGAUGCACUGGCCUCCUAAGCCAGGGAUUGUGGGUUCAAGUCCCAUCUGGGGUC
rnacentral:tRNA from 1 species